ensembl:lncRNA
GGGGGCAGCGGGAGGCGCUGGGAACAGCGGGACGUGCUGAGAACAGUGCGGAGUCUGUGAGCCCGGGGAGGAAGGGACUGGUUUGGGGUCUAACUGGUCUCAUCCCCUCCAGCGGGCAGCAGCACCCUCUUCUUCUCCCCACGAAGAGAAACACUUUUCCAUCUUCUCUGAGGGAGACUCAGCCUGACUCCCACUCCAGGCCCAAGACCUCUGCACGAGGAGGGGGCCCCGGGCUCCUCGUCCCGUGAGCUCAAGAGAGGAAUCUGGCCAAGGUCUCUGUGGUGGCCACAGCAUCUCUGGGUAGACGCUCACCUCGUUUGCCCACUUGGGACGGAAGCUUCUUAAAACAGCACAUAAUUUAUCACUGGGCAGUGCCCUGGUCUCCGUCAUCCUCAUCGGACACGAGCUUCUCACACUGAUGGACAGGAUUUCUUGCAGCCAGUGGUGACUCAAAUCACAUGAGACUGGAUUUCAGAAGGUGAUGGAAUCCCUCCAGUUUCAUUGCUGGAUUAAGACGCAGCACCGAAGGCAAAGCCAGAGAACUAGAGCCGCAUCGUCUUCUUUUAUUAAAUCAUGAAAUGCAUUUAAGGGUCAAGAAGAAAACAUCACGAUUAUUAACCUGUAUACAACAUAUGUAUUAAAUUCUAAGUGAAGCGUCUAGGUUGUCAUUGUGAAUAGAGAUACAUGAAAGGAAAUGUUCUUUCAUUCUGACUUUGACUUUUCUCAAGAAAGAAAAUUCUUAAUUGCAAAAUUAUUUCGACUUUGAAUCACAGACAUAUUUGUUUUAUGAUAAAUAGCAGAUUUGUAUCUAAAUAUAGUUUCACCAGAAAAAUAAUGUAAAAAAAUGUUUUGACUCAGAUUUCCACUUCAGAUUUUAAUAAGAAAUAUGUAUCAUUAUCACUUUAAAAGUUUUAUAUGAAGAUUUUGAGCAUGAAGAUUGAGUUUCAAAAAAAGGUAUUUUUAGGCAAAUGAAAAAAGUUCAACAGAAAAUCAAAUAUAAAAUAGAAACAUUACAGUUAUUAUGUAGCUAAAGUACAUUUUAAAAGUAUUUUGCCAUAUCGAACCACAUAUUUAAGUUCUGUUUGAAUCUGUUAGAAGCUGCUCUUCAGAGUGUUCUGACUACCAUACUACAGGAUGUGCGCUGGACGCGUUUCCGUUGUUCUGCUACCGUUUGGCAACACAGGGCCCUCACGCUAAGAAACAGAUCGGCCCUGACCCUGUUUCUCAUAUGGGAGUCCUGCCCCAGGGGGUGGCUGACCCAUUGGGGGUCAGAGAUUUUCCUCCUCUUUCUAAUCUGACAUAAAAUGUUAAGUGUGGGCUGACCUGGGCAUAGAGGCUCCUGGAUUGACCAAGACAUUUAUUCAACUAGUUAGAAGCUAAAAAUCACGUUGUGCAAACAGAACCCCGGCUGUUCUAAACACAUGCGGGUGAAGACGGCUGUGGGAGCCAGAGCAAGUGCUGUGUGCUGCCGGGCAGGCACGGACUCUCCUGUGCGUGUUCCGAGAAGCUGCGGGUGUCCCUGUUCAUCCACAGAAACAUUCUCUUACAGUACAGACAGUCCUGUAAGAAGUUGAACACAAAGCAUCAAUGUAAUGCUCCCACCCAUAAUUAAUAAAGAUAUUGUGAGCUGAUGUCCAUGAAGAACUGACUUCACCCAUAGGUGCUAAAUUACACAGCAAAGCUCUUCACAUAUUGAACUCCAAGGAGGCAGGUGACUUUGCGAGCAGAGACUUCAGAAUUGUUUGUAUCGUCUAAAUGUUUACCAUUUCCAUUUGCUACUGAAAAAUUAUUCUGUCAGACAUGAUUACUGAGGAAACACAAACCAAUUUCACUUUAUUUUGUGGGCUGCUCUUUCCAGCCUAUGAGUGGAGACAGCCUCCAAAAGGCAACGCUUCUGAGUCCCCCGCAAGCAGGGGGCUGCGUUUCCAGUGUCUCAUAUAAGUCUUCUCAAACAUUUCCUUCCCUUCAGACAGCAGAGUUGUUCUUUGAACUGAGCUAAUUAUCAUAUAAAGGACAAGCUUUCCUUUUAAAGGACUUGACACGUUUCUGACUUCGCUUUCUCUGGAAAUGACCUUGGUUUCACGGUGACUUCAGCUCAGGAUGAGUGUGCCGCGAUGUCCUUUGCUCUUGAGAUAAAGGAGACGUCGGUUGUUUGGAUGUAAGGGAAGCCCCCACGCCAUCCCAGUCUUAAAGACGAGCGAGGGUUUUUCAUCCGAGUCACAGGGAUGCCGUGUGGGAGGCAGACUCUACCUGUCUUACUGCGUCGAUCUGCUGAACUCCCAACAGUGACCUGAAAACUGUUUGCUAGUUUUCAGUUUCACCUGAGCGUUUCCUGAGCUGGCCUUGACCGUCCUCCCCAAGUGAGAGUGCUGGUUUUUUCCCUGGCGCCCCUGGGGCCCCGGGGCGCAGGGCCGGGCUCGCAGGGGGCAGACGCGGGGCCGUCUCGGCCUGAGUCCCCGGUCUGGUGUCCAUUGUCGUGUUGAAACGUUCUCUGCCACUGGCCGUCCUUCCUUGGGUGGGAGUCUGACCACCCCACGGGACUCGGCUCCAGGCCGCGGCUUGCCCUCCAGCGACCCCUGAGCUUGGGGCUCUGACUCAGGAGAACCGAGGGGGCAGGGUGCUGUGGAGGGGGGGCUUUAAGGCUGAGUGUGUGUCGGGGGCAACAGAACUCGAUGAAGCUUCACCUUCCCUAUCAACAGACACACUUUAUGAUAGUCGUAGGAAAGUCGGGAAUAUUUAAUACAAACCUUGAGGCUCCUGUAGAAAUAAAGGUAUUUUU